rnacentral:rRNA from 1 species
UACGUAGGGGGCAAGCGUUGUCCGGAUUUAUUGGGCGUAAAGAGCGUGUAGGCGGCCAGGUAGGUCCGCUGUGAAAACUCGAGGCUCAACCUCGAGAUGUCGGCGGAAACCAUCUGGCUAGAGUCCGGAAGAGGAGAGUGGAAUUCCUGGUGUAGCGGUGAAAUGCGCAGAUAUCAGGAGGAACACCGAUGGCGAAGGCAGGUCUCUGGGCCACUACUGACGCUGAGAAGCGAAAGCAUGGGGAGCGAACAGG